rnacentral:misc_RNA from 1 species
GAUGAAGAACGUAGCGAAAUGCGAUACGUAAUGUGAAUUGCAGAAUUCAGUGAAUCAUCGAGUCUUUGAACGCACAUUGCGCCCCCUGGUAUUCCGGGGGGCAUGCCUGUCCGAGCGUCAUUGCUGCCCUCAAGCACGGCUUGUGUGUUGGGCCUCCGUCCUCCUCCCGGGGGACGGGCCCGAAAGGCAGGGGCGGCACCGCGUCCGGUCCUCGAGCGUAUGGGGCUUCGUCACCCGCUCUUGUAGGCCCGGCCGGCGCUUGCCGACACAUCAAUCUUUUUUCCAGGUUGACCUCGGAUCAGGUAGGGAUACCCGCUGAACUUAAGCAUAUCAAUAAGCGGAGGA